CGAGUCAGUGACUACGUUGCUUCAGUUCUUGGGGACUACUUUUGUGAUGAAACUAGUGAGACAGACUAUGAAGCAGUAGAAGAUAUGGAAGGAGAGGUAGAGAAAGGGAAAGAA